rnacentral:rRNA from 1 species
CCUACGGGAGGCAGCAGUGGGGGAUAUUGCACAAUGGGGGAAACCCUGAUGCAGCGACGCCGCGUGGGUGAAGAAGCGCCUCGGCGCGUAAAGCCCUGUCAGCAGGGAAGAAAAUGACGGUACCUGAAGAAGAAGCCCCGGCUAACUACGGGCCAGCAGCCGCGGUAAUACGUAGGGGGCAAGUGUUAUCCGGAUUUACUGGGGGUAAAGGGGGCGCAGACGGGGAUGCAAGCCAGGUGUGAAAGCCCGGGGCCCAACCCCGGGACUGCUCUUGGAACUGCGUGGCUAGAGUGCAGGAGGGGCAGGCGGAAUUCCUGGUGUAGCGGUGAAAUGCGUAGAUAUCAGGAGGAACACCGGUGGCGAAGGCGGCCUGCUGGACUGCAACUGACGUUGAGGCCCGAAAGCGUGGGGAGCAAACAGGAUUAGAUACCCCAGUAGUC